AGUACGCCUGGGUCUUAGAC
rnacentral:piRNA from 1 species